rnacentral:rRNA from 1 species
GUCUACGGCCACGCCAAGAUGUCUGAACAAGCCCAAUGUCUGAUCUCGGAAGUUAAGCAGGGUUGGGCCUGGUUAAUACUUGGAUGGAAGACCACCUAGGAAGACCAGAUGCUACUGGCA